rnacentral:misc_RNA from 1 species
UCCCGGUUGGCCCGGGCAGUCUCGCGUGAAAAAUUCAACACACGACAAGGGUUGCGCUCGUUGCGGGACUUAACCCAACAUCUCACGACACGAGCUGACGACGGCCAUGCAGCACCUGUCACUAGGCUCCCGAGGGCACCCUCUUGUUUCCAAAAGGUUCCUAGGAUGUCAAGCCUUGGUAAGGUUCUUCGCGUAGCAUCGAAUUAAACCACAUCAUCCACCGCUUGUGCGGGUCCCCGUCAAUUCCUUUGAGUUUUAAGCUUGCGCUCGUACUCCCCAGGCGGCAUACUUAUCGCGUUAGCUUCUCAGCACAGGGGGUCGAUACCCCAUACUAAUAGUAUGCAUCGUUUACGGCGUGGACUAC